ensembl:lncRNA
UUUAUCAAAAAGUUAGUUUCUGAUUCAUGUUUUCAAUGAUAGUUCUGUUUUCUAAUUCAUUACCUUCUGCUUUCUUCUUUACAAUUCUUUGCUACUGCUUUCUGUUGGUUUGUCAUACUUCUGUAAUUUCUUGAGCUUAAUAGAUUGAUUGUGUGCUUAAUAGAUUAAUAGUACCAUUUAAGCUUAGAGAAUUUUCUUGAAUAUUUCUUGUAGCGCUAAUCUGCUAGGGAUAUAUGCUCUCAAUUCUGUUUAACUGAAAAUGUCUUAAACUUCAUUUCCGAGGGAUAAUUUUCCUGGAUAUGGAAUUUUAGGGUGAAAAUUUUCUUCUUUCAAAUCUUUAAAGAUGCCAGUCCUUGGUAGGCUGUCUUGUACUGUAUUUAAUAAGUUAGUAAUCAUUCUUACUUUUGGAAAUAUUUUAGCCAUUAUUUUUCCAAAUUUUUUCUCUGUCCCAAACUCUCUAUGCUCCUUCUGUGGCUCUACUUAUCCGUAUGUCUUGGUAUGUCUCAUAGUCUCUUCAUUUUUAAGAAAUCUUUCUUUGUGUUUAAACUUAGAUUUCCUAUUGCCCUGCAUUAAAUUUACUGUUACUUCCUUCUGAAUUUCCAAUCUGCUUUUAAGCCCAGCCAGUGAAUUUUUCGUUUCUGAUUUUUUUAGUUCCAGAUUUUCCAUGUGUUUAAUUUUUUUUUCCUAAAGAUUGGCACUGGAGCUAACAACUGUUGCCAAUCUUCCUUUUUUUUUUUCUGCUUCCCCCCCCCAAAUCCCCCCCAGUACAUAGUUGUAUAAUUUUAAUUGCAAGUCCUUCUAGUUGUGGCAUGUGGGAUGCUGCGUCAGCAUGGCCUGAUGAGUGAUGCCAUGUCCACGCCCAGGAUCUGAACCGGUGAAACCCUGGGCCACUGAAGCAGAGCACACGAACUUAACAACUCGGCCAUGGGGCUGGCCCCCUUAAUUUUUAUAAUUUUGAUUUCUCAGCUGAAACUCACCAUCUCUUCACUCGAAAUGUCUGUGUUUUCCUUUUAAUCCUCAAACAGAUUUAUGAUACUCUUUGAAAGUUUUUAAUUCAUAAUUCCACAAUGUGGGUCAUCUCAGGCCUGUUUUUAUUGACUUUUUUCCCUCCUCAUUAUGAGUCACAUUUUCCUGCUUUUGCGCUUGUCUAGUACCUGUUUUUUGCAUGUUGGAUUGCAGCUGCUGUGUUGCUUAGAGUCUGGGUGUUGUUCCCUCCCUUUAAAUAAUGUUGAGUUUUAUUCUACCAGGCAGUUAAUUUACUGGUGGGUCAAUUUGUCUUCAGGGUUUAUCAGGAUGGUUCUGGAGUGGCAUUUACUCUAUGGCUCUUUUGAAGCAGAUGUGGCAUGCCUUACUCUUUAAGAAGGAAGAAAUGGAAGAUCAAAGAUGCGAAACACAAAGGACAGAAGUGAUAGAGUUGUGGGGAGAACCCGUGCACUCUGGCCACUGGUCGAGGACUCAAUCCCCUAAACCAUCUUUCCUCUGAAGAAACAGGCAUUUCCUUCAGCCCUGAACUAAAGCUAACACUUUAUUUGACAUCUCUAUGAAAAUACCUGGUUUAACAUUAAUUCACACGUGAUCAGAACUUUUGCAACUAGUUGGAAGGAGAACAAUAGACCUUUUAGAGUUGCCAAUAAUCUGCUGGUUUUAUGAUCAGUACAUUGAUUGCUCUUAUCUUUUUGUUUCACAGCCCUGAGGCAGGGCAGGAGGAAGCAAUUUCUCAGUGUGGUUCUUCAUAGAACUUUUUUGUUUUUCUGGCUCUUUUUUCUUUUUUUAAAAUAAAAGAGACAUUUUAAAGAACGAAAUGGAAAAAAAAUGGUACUGAUAUUAUGUGUGAAUUGCUUUAUUUUUGACUUCUUUACAUGACAUUCCUAAAACAGAUUUCUAAACAUCUGUUUUAAUCAGCAUCUUAAGUUGCUUUUUUGUUUUGUGUGACAAUUUUGUUCCCUAUUGUUUAUUUGUGGGUUUUUUUAAUAGAUUUAAUAGAUUUGACAUAUAACAUGGUGUCAAUUUAAGGUGUCUAACAUGUUACUUUGAUAUAUUUACAUAUUAUAAUGUGACUGCCUGUUGCCUAUUGCUAAUCCAGGGCCUGUGAAUGUGCUAAUCCCCAAAUUUUAGGAGCUGUGACUAACUACAGAAUAAUUGGAUUUGGAUAUCUGGGGAAUCAAGUUUCGGGAGAAGAGACGAGAGAUAUUUCAUAGUUUCUAUAUCUUGGCUCUGAUCAUAAUCUCUGUCUAUUUUGGCAGAUAAAAUGUAGCUUCUCUCGUCUGUACCAAAAAAUACAUAUUGUUUUAUCAAAAGAGAAAAGAAGGAUUUAAGGGGAGCCAUCAAGAUGUUGGCUUCCAUGUUUUAUGGCAUGAGAAGAAGCAAAUCUGCACUGUGACAGAUAUUAGCUCCUACCUUUGCACACUUGCGUUAGCUCAAUGUCAUCCAGGAUAGUGUGCACAUUUUCACUUAUUGACUUUAGUGAGGGAGUGAAUGCUUCCGCCUCGGGGUGUAUUUCUGUUGGCUCAACAAUCUACUGGAAGUCCCCAAAUACUUUUCUUUUGGAUCACCUUAGUUCUUCUCUGCAAUAACAGACUGGGCAAAGUUCACCAGCCAAGCAAAACACACGUACAGUGAGAAUUAUAAAGUAGUCCACACAUUUGGAGAAUCAGCUCCUACCUUGAUAUAGCUUUGUUGGCCUAUGAAUCUAACCAAGCUGCCGUCAUUGCUACACAGUGAUGUACAUCCUAAUGAAAUCACAUGUUGUUUAAGCCUGCACUUGAUAUAUCCCCUCAAGCCUUCAGUGUAAACAGCAUUUACAAUUAAAAAAAAUAGCCUUUGCUGCAAACGAAAACAAAGAUGUGUUCAUGUAUUUGAACAUUUAUCUCUUGUGUAAAUUUCUAACAUUGCAGAGUAAGAUCAGAGGUAAUCCAGAAGGAAAAGAAUGUGUGGAUGCUUGCAGUGUAGACUGACACCCAGCAUGUGACCUAACGCUAUUUCAUAUCCAGAAGUGGAAAUUGUGAUGAAUGGAAAUUACAUAGUGUUUAUGAAAUACAGGAAACACUAAAUAUCCUUCUCAUUUUUCAUACCAAAACAUCUAUUUAUAAGUACUUGUUAAGAAAUUUAGAAAACAAUAGUAAUUUUGGAGAAGCUGAAAAUUAGAGUAAAUCUGUAGGUGAUUAUUAAAUAUCUAGUAUAAACAGAUACAUUUUUCCCCCUAAAAAUAUCAAAUGCUUGUAAUUACAGUUUAUAAGAAUGAAAGACGUUUUCUUCUCGGCAGAUGAAGGUGCAAGUUUUUGAAUCACUGCAAAAUGUAUAUGCCAAAAAAAAAUUGAAUUUAUUUUAAUUUAAAAAUGUAUAUAUUCAGCUUAUCCAAUGAUGGCCUGGAAACUGGAAGAGAAUAGGGGUGAAAAAUAAGCGAGACAGGUACACAGUUGAAAUGGGCUCAAAUUUUCUGGGGCAAAUAUUUAUUCAUUCUAAGCUUCAGUUUCCUUAACUGAAAAGGAGUGGUGACUCCCCACUGCUAAAACAAGGAUUAAAUGAAAAAAAAUUCUUUUAAACCAUGGGAAGUGCAUAACAGAGUACCUGACACACAGUUAAGCGUUUGUACAUUUUAAUAAUUAUUAUUAUUUUCUAUUUCAGAAUGCUGUUCAAUAACUUGAACAUAUAUUGAUGUUAAUGUAAUGCUUAUUGAAAUUCUGUGUGUUAAAUUUCAUAAAAAUAAUUUCUCAUCUUUUUAAAGAAAAUUCAAGUCAUAGUCUCCCAUUUUGUUUUCUAUCUUAAUUUUUAUUUUAUUACAUGAACGUAACAUGAAUACAUUUUCCAUUUUGGAAGCAUUAAAAUGUGCCUUAUAAGUGACUGCUGUUGGGAGAAAAGCUUAAUAUUGUAGAUUCUAGUUAAAUUUUGGUUUUGUUCACUUGUGUUACAAGAAUACAUUUCCUUUCUUUAAAGCAUUAAAAGAUUGCUUGUUAGUGACAUGUUAGAGGAAACGCUCCGCAUCCUUGAGGAACAAUAGUAAUAGUGACAAUAAAAGCAGCAAUAACAAGAGCAAUCUUGGCCUGUGCUCCUUCUGCUGCCCCUUUUCCAUCUUCACUUCUCCCAAGGAUGAGAAGGAGAAAUUCAUUCCCUAAUUGGUGGGUGAUAGCCAUAGGCCCAUAUUUUUAAGUAAAGUGGAGCC